GGGCGUAAGAGCACGCAGGCGGUUUGGCAAGUCGGAUGUGAAAACCCGAAGCUCAACUUCGGGCCUGCAUCCGAAACUGCCCGACUAGAGGUAGGUAGGGGAGAUCGGAAUUCCUGGUGUAGCGGUGAAAUGCGCAGAUAUCAGGAGGAACACCGGUGGCGAAGGCGGAUCUCUGGGCCUUACCUGACGCUCAGGUGCGAAAGCUAGGGGAGCGAACAGGAUUAGAUACCCUGGUAGUCCUAGCCGUAAACGUUGGGUGCUAGGUGUGGGCGGUCAUCAACCCCGUCCGUGCCGAAGCUAACGCAUUAAGCACCCCGCCUGGGGAGUACGGCCGCAAGGCUAAAACUCAAAGGAAUUGACGGGGCCCCGCACAAGCGGCGGAGCAUGUUGCUUAAUUCGAUGCGACGCGAAGAACCUUACCUGGGCUUGACAUGCAGGGUGAAACCCGUGAAAGCGGGCGCUCUUCGGAGCCUGCACAGGUGGUGCAUGGCUGUCGUCAGCUCGUGCCGUGAGGUGUUGCCUUAAGUGGCGCAACGAGCGCAACCCCUGUCCUUAGUUGCCAGCGGAUCAUGCCGGGAACUCUAGGGAGACUGCCGGUGCCAAACCGGAGGAAGGUGGGGAUGACGUC
rnacentral:rRNA from 1 species